rnacentral:rRNA from 1 species
GUGAGGAAUAUUGGUCAAUGGGCGAGAGCCUGAACCAGCCAAGUCGCGUGAAGGAAGACGGUUCUAUGAAUUGUAAACUUCUUUUGUGCAGGAAUAAAGUGGGUUACGUGUAACCUUUUGUAUGUACUGUACGAAUAAGGAUCGGCUAACUCCGUGCCAGCAGCCGCGGUAAUACGGAGGAUCCGAGCGUUAUCCGGAUUUAUUGGGUUUAAAGGGUGCGUAGGUGGAUUGAUAAGUCAGCGGUGAAAGUUUGCAGCUUAACUGUAAAAUUGCCGUUGAAACUGUCGGUCUUGAGUGCAAAUGAGGUAGGCGGAAUGUGUUGUGUAGCGGUGAAAUGCUUAGAUAUAACACAGAACUCCGAUUGCGAAGGCAGCUUACUGGGAUGCAACUGACACUGAUGCACGAAAGCGUGGGUAUCAAACAGGAUUAGAAACCCGGGUAGUCC